AAUAACGAGCAAAGUCUCCCGAAAAUAGUUUGAAAGUUGGUUUCUGACAAGAGGAAAGAAAAGGCUGCAACACUAAAGGAAGACUCAAAGUGUUAAAAGGACGCUCAAAAUGUAGUAUUGUGGCAGGUCGGGAAUCCCAUCAUCUUUAUUGAGAGACAUUCCUUUGGAAAGAAUACUUCCAAUCAUUCUAUCAAAAAUCUUAUACUUGAAGAGAAGCCCUGCUGGAAUGAUUUAGGGGAUACAUAGAAUGGAAUGUGAAAUCCUGUAAUUUGCAGCAGCAUGGAUGAAGUGGAGGCCAUUGUCUUGUGAAUAAUUAAAUGUUUUGAUAGUAAAAAAUCAAUGAAUGACCUUCUAUUUGGGUGCGAUCAUCAGUGUGGGAAGACGGCGGCAGUAUACCCAGAACUAGCACAAGCGAACAAAUGGAGAUUCUUGCUCUGUUCCCCAGGCUGGAGUGUAGUGGCACAAUCUCGGCUCACUGCAACCCCUGCCUGCAAGGUUCAAGCGAUUCUUGUGCCUCAGCCUCCCAAGUAGCUGGAAUUACAGAGGCAAAGUUUCACUCUGUGACCCAGG
rnacentral:lncRNA from 1 species